AACAAACGCUGGCGGCGUGCCUAAUACAUGCAAGUCGAACGGGGAAAGCUUUCGGGUGAGUACUAGUGGCGCACGGGUGACUAACGCGUGGAUAAUCUGCCUUAGAGUGGGGGAUAACUAGUCGAAAGAUUAGCUAAUACCGCAUAAGACCACAAGAACUGCGGUUCAAGAGGUAAAAGGAUUUUCGCUCUAAGAUGAGUCCGCGUAAGAUUAGCUAGUUGGUGAGGUAACGGCUCACCAAGGCAACGAUCUUUAACUGGUCUGAGAGGAUGAUCAGUCACACUGGAGCUGAGACACGGUCCAGACUCCUACGGGAGGCAGCAGUAGGGAAUAUUGCACAAUGGAGGAAACUCUGAUGCAGCGACGCCGCGUGAGUGAUGAAGGCCUUCGGGUCGUAAAGCUCUGUCGCAGGGGAAUAACACAAUGAAUGUACCCUGUAAGAAAGGAUCGGCUAACUUCGUGCCAGCAGCCGCGGUAACAC
rnacentral:rRNA from 1 species